UUUCAGAACAGAAGAUCAUAGGGGAGAGCGGGGUAUUGUGAGCCAUUUUUUACAUUUGUUUCCCUAUAGGCAAGGUAAAAUGAUGUAUCAGUAAAAUGUAAACAUUUCCUAUUAAUUUGGGAUGUUUCCUAGCUAUGGAAGUUAUCAGAAAAUCGUCAAGACAAAGGACAAUGAAAAUAUGAUUGUUUUAAAAAAAGUGGUCCUGUGUCUCACUUUACCCCAGAUCAGGGGUAAAGUUAGACAGACCAGAAAAAUCAAUGGGGUAAAUUGAACCAUUUGGGGGUAAGCUGAUACACUUACGUUUUCCACUUUAAUACUACCAUAACACAUGUUGUAACAAUUUGAAUCCUGACUGACAACCUAACCUUCAAAAACAAAAAAAUGUCAGACUAGGAUCAGUGUUACGGAGAUUGGUUAAUUAUAGUUAGCACUUGAAAGUAACCCAAAGUAUUAAAAUGUAAAUCAAAUACAACAUAAUAUACUUCAAAAUGU